UCGUGCGGAAUCUCUCAGAGAUGGAGAGGCCUUCGGAGCCGCCAAGACAGGUGCUUGCAAUGGCCUGUUCGUCAGCUUCGUGUUCGUGAGGAUGUUUGGGUUAAGUCCCGUAACGAGCGCAACCCUUGUUCCCUAGUUGCCAGCGAGUCAAGUCGGAACUUAGGGAGACUGCCGGUGACAAACCGGAGGAAGGUGGGGACGACGUCAAGUCAUCAUGGCCCUUAUGAGCAGGGCUACACACGUGCUACAAUGCCGGUACAAAGGCUGCCAACCCGCGAGGGGGAGCUAAUCCCAAAAAACCGGUCGUAGUCGGAGUCUGCAACUCGACUCCAUGAAGCCGAAUCGCUAGUAAUCGUGAUCAGCAGCCACGGUGAUA
rnacentral:rRNA from 1 species